rnacentral:rRNA from 1 species
UACGUAGAUGGCAAGCGUUAUCCGGAUUUACUGGGCGUAAAGAGGGUGUAGGCGGUUUUUCAAGUCGGAUGUAAAAUCUCCUGGCUCAACUAGGAGCGAUCAUUCGAUACUGUAAAGCUAGAGGACAGCAGAGGGAGGUGGAAUUUCCGGUGUAGUGGUGAAAUGCGUAGAUAUCGGAAGGAACACCAGUGGCGAAGGCGGCCUCCUGGGCUGUUACUGACGCUGAGACCCGAAAGCGUGGGGAGCAAACAGGAUUAGAUACCCCCGUA